UAAGCCAAAGAAAGACGGGAUACCGACAUUGUCUGAUUGUCGCCCGCAGGUUGGAAGGAAAAUAAAUGAAGCUGUGAACAGUGGAAAAAGCCUCAUCAUUGUGCCGACCCAGAACAGUUACACUGGUGCCGUGAACCUUCAGAUCUUUAGAUCGGCUUGAUGCUCAUCGCCGCGGAUGCUGCGCUGCUCUCCUGAUCUACAGUUGAUGAUUAUUGUGUGGUCGGAUCUCAAAACAGUGUGUUUGGAGAGAACCCAGUAGACUACUGGAUAAGACUGAACAAAGCAGCAGACCUGGCUCUUGAGGGUCUUCACAGACAAGGAAAACGGGCAGAGAACAUUGUAAGCCACUUCAUGAGUGGACGUCCCGUGAUGUUCAACAGAGAAUCGAUGACUACCAGGGAGAGUCAAGGGCUAAUAGAAGGGC